rnacentral:rRNA from 1 species
GACGAACCGUGCGAACGUUAUUCGGAAUCACUGGGCUUAAAGGGUGCGUAGGCGGCUUGUCAAGUCGGGUGUGAAAGCCCCCGGCUUAACCGGGGAAUUGCGCCCUAAACUGACGAGCUGGAGUGGGACAGGGGUGUGUGGAACUUCCGGUGGAGCGGUGAAAUGUGUUGAUAUCGGAAGGAACGCCGGUGGCGAAAGCGACACACUGGGUCUCAACUGACGCUGAGGCACGAAAGCCAGGGGAGCGAACGGG